UUCAUUGUGACACUGCCAGAGAUGUCCCAGAGAGAGUGGGUUUCUUUUCUGUGUUCCUCACACGUAGCUGUGACAAGAGAAAAGAAAAUGGCAGGACUUGGGCCUCAUAUUUCUCCAACAGAGCUACCAAGCUCCUGGUACCACUAAAAGCAAAAGAACUUUCUUGUACAAAACUGGAGUUUGUGUUUAUGUUCUAUCCAAAGCAGAGAGAACAGCUUUGCAGCUACUUCACAGCUUGGCUUUCUCAACCAGACCAACUCUUCUUUUGGAGAUAACGGAAAAAUGAGUGGAUCAACCAAAGUUUAUUUUAAUAUGUCUUCAGGAUUUUUAAACUUCCAUGAAAGUAACUUCUGAAUUGAAAGUGAAAUUUAAGCUGUAAACAGGAACAAUUUAUACUCCGGAGAGGACAGCAUCUCGGAAGGUGUGGAAAGCUUGACAAGGGUGCUUUUUCUGGAAGACAGUGUAUUUGAUGAAGUCAAAGGGAGUCUCAAGGGGAAGACUAUGAAGAAAGAGACAGAAGUGUUUUACUGCUGCAAACUUUUCUGUGAUAACUGCUGUUUUCAAAUGCCUGAAUUCUGCCAGCUGACCCAAUGGCUGCUGAAGUGAGAAAGGACAGUCCAGGGUGCUGGAUCCUUUGGUCCUUACGGAUUUCAUGGGACGGUGCAGGAAAUAAUAGAACUCUGAAAUAGAAGAGAAGGAAAAGAAAGAGGAGAAGGAAGACAGGACAAAAAAAAGCACUAAUACCAUAUGAGAAUUUAAAGCCUAGUUGUUCUUCAUACUUUUCACCCAAGAGCAACAGAAGUGGAAAAAUAAGAGCAGGAGUUGGGUCUAAAACACUUUAUUUUUUAGGAAGAGAAUGGAGAAAUGUUAAUACGUACAAAUUUCUGGUAUUUCUUUACUUUUUUAUUUUUAUUAUUUUUGCAGAACAUGCUAUAAAACUCCUUAAGAAUCACAGAAUCACAGUUAUUUUUGGUUCGGCUUCAGCUGGUGCAGUUACAUGUUUGUUUGAAGUCUAUAGCUUCUGAUAGACAAAAUGGCCAAACAUUCAGGAUCUUAAGCUUUCCUUCCUGACCUCCAGAGCAUCGUGUGUAGGCACUACUAUUAUGAUUCUUGCUAGAUGUUAUUGAGCCACAGAUUUCAGGUCUCUACUCAGUUUACUUUUACAACAUAAAAGUGGAUAAAUCUUCACUUGAGUUUUUCUUAAGUUCUCCGAUAGGAGUAGGAACAGGCUGAGCCUGAUGAUAGCUGCUGUGUUGUAAACACCUACAUGUAACACUUAUGAAAUACAGGUCCUUGUGUACUCCAUAGCAAAGCCUGUGGGUUGUUUCAGGCAGUAAACCUGUCCAAUCAAGUCUAGGUGAACCAAAGUUAUUCUGAAAUACAGCUUUAGGCUGUUUAGUAAAUUGCAAACAUUCAGUGAAAGCUGCCUCUUUCCUUGGACAGAAUCCCUUUAUUAAUUUUACUAUGGGAAAAGCAUGGUGUAGACUUUUAAUGAGACAUACAAAACAGUUACUGUUUUUCACAAAGUCAGCUGUGUAGUGUGUAUCACUCUUUUCCUGAUUUUUUCCUCUGUGUAAUGUUUGAUAAGUGCAGUAAAUCCAAGAAGUGU
ensembl:lncRNA